GCCUGGAUAGCUUAGUUGGUUAGAGCAUGGUGCUGAUAAUGCCAAGGUUGCAGGUUCAAUCCCCAUAAGGGACA